UUGCCAUUUCCUCCUCCAGGGGAUCUUCCUGACCCAGGGAUUGAACCCAGGUCUCCUGCAUUGCAGGCAGAUGCUUUAACCACCAAGCCACCAAUUGCAAAGUCCAGGCAAGAAGCGAUGAGGGUCUGGAUUAGUGCAAAGAAGGUGGUAAACAAGAGAAGGUGCUGAGAAAAGGAGAGAUGAAAUGUGGGAGGUGAUGGAAAUGGGGCAACUGAGAAGACUCCCAUAUUUCUGCUUGGGAUAAUGCCACUAGUAAGAUUUUUCUGACUUGGAGAUUGGACUUUGGGGCUCUGAUGUCUUUUUCUCAAGGCCUUGAGUUCCUAGAAGGUUCUGAGUCACCUCUUCCCCAGUGUCCAGCUCUGCACAUCAAUGGGAGAGACAGUUUUUGCUAAGACAAAAAAAUUAAAUAAGUGAAGACCGAGAAGGAUCCAUUGGGUUUGGACUUGGAAUCAUUGCUGGGUAGACACAUGGCUGCAGUGGUUUGAAGAGUGAAUGAAAGUAGAGACACCCAAUUUGGAUGGAUAUCACUAUGCACAGCUUACACUCAAGGAAUGAGGAGACAGGCUCCAUCUCUGUGUGAGUAGAGUAUCUACACAGAUUAUGAAGAAAUCUUCUGAACCACAGACUUUUCUUUCCAAGAUUAAUACGCUGACAGUAGCAGAAGAUGAGAGCAAUGAAGAGCCUCACAAAAAUAACAUCGCAAGUGUCUUAUGCACAUGUUUCUUGUACUAGUCAUUAACAUUUCCAUAGGCCAAGAAAAAAGUCAUUUAAUAGGAACUGCUGAUAACAGUGAUUUGAAUAACAUGAAGCUAAAGGACUGAAUCAACAUCUUUGGUGCUUUUUAUUUUCUAAUGUCUAAAUAGAACAGUUUGAAAAAUCAAGGUUAGUUUCAGGUCCUUAUAAUUAGCCC